GACGAACGCUGGCGGCGUGCCUAAUACAUGCAAGUCGAGCGGACCGACGGGAGCUUGYUCCCUUAGGUCAGCGGCGGACGGGUGAGUAACACGUGGGUAACCUGCCUGUAAGACUGGGAUAACUCCGGGAAACCGGGGYUAAUACCGGAUGCUUGAUUGAACCGCAUGGUUCAAUCAUAAAAGGUGGCUUUUAGCUACCACUURCAGAUGGACCCGCGGCGCAUUAGCUAGUUGGUGAGGUAACGGCUCACCAAGGCGACGAUGCGUAGCCGACCUGAGAGGGUGAUCGGCCACACUGGGACUGAGACACGGCCCAGACUCCUACGGGAGGCAGCAGUAGGGAAUCUUCCGCAAUGGACGAAAGUCUGACGGAGCAACGCCGCGUGAGUGAUGAAGGUUUUCGGAUCGUAAAACUCUGUUGUUAGGGAAGA
rnacentral:rRNA from 1 species